CGGCGGACGGGUGAGUAACGCGUGGGUAACCGUGCCUCAUACAGGGGGAUAACAGUUGGAAACGGCUGCUAAUACCGCAUAAGCGCACAGUACCGCAUGGUACCGUGUGAAAAACUCCGGUGGUAUGAGAUGGACCCGCGUCUGAUUAGCUAGUUGGUGGGGUAACGGCCUACCAAGGCGACGAUCAGUAGCCGGCCUGAGAGGGUGAACGGCCACAUUGGGACUGAGACACGGCCCAG
rnacentral:rRNA from 1 species